rnacentral:rRNA from 1 species
UACAGAGGGGGCAAGCGUUGUUCGGAAUUACUGGGCGUAAAGGGCGCGUAGGCGGCCUUCUAAGUCGAACGUGAAAUCCCCGGGCUCAACCCGGGAACUGCGUCCGAUACUGGAAGGCUUGAAUCCGGGAGAGGGAUGCGGAAUUCCAGGUGUAGCGGUGAAAUGCGUAGAUAUCUGGAGGAACACCAGUUGCGAAGGCGGCUGACUGGACCCAUAUUGACGCUGAGGCUCGAAAGCAUGGGGAGCAAACAGG